CCUACGGGAGGCAGCAGUGGGGGAUAUUGGACAAUGGGGGAAACCCUGAUCCAGCGACGCCGCGUGAGUGAAGAAGUAUUUCGGUAUGUAAAGCUCUAUCAGCAGGGAAGAAAGAAAUGACGGUACCUGAGUAAGAAGCCCCGGCUAACUACGUGCCAGCAGCCGCGGUAAUACGUAGGGGGCAAGCGUUAUCCGGAAUUACUGGGUGUAAAGGGAGCGUCGACGGUAAUGCAAGUCGGGAGUGAAGGGCGGGGGCCCACCCCCCGGACGGCACUGGAAACGGUGUAACUGGAGUGCAGGGGAGGCAGGCGGAAUUCCGGGUGUAGCGGUGAAAUG
rnacentral:rRNA from 1 species